AAGAGAGAGUUAAAAAGGACGUGAAACCGAUGAGGUGGAAACGGACAGAGCCGGCGUAUCUGGCUUGUAUUCAGCCAUGGGCUCUUGGGCACUGGGCGGUUGCUCUCCAGAUUGGGAUCACUGUCUGGUUGCUUGGGUAUCUAUGGUGCAUUUGCAGGUGGAGUGCGCUGAGGUGGUCGGGGCAGCGGCAUGAGCUCGGUCUUGAGGCCAGCCUUUCGGGGUCUGGUACCCGGGUUGAGGAAGUGCUGUUUGUUCUGGCUGGCGACGGGGAAUGGUUUCGGGCCCGAUUAGGUGCCGAGCUGGCAGUCGGUGGCGGUCGCAUGCGACACGUGCCAGCGGUCAGUUCGGUCCUGGUCGAGCUCUCAAAGCCCCAUCCUCGGUGUAAAAGCUGGUCAUCUGUCCGACCCGUCUUGAAACACGGACCAAGGAGUUUAGCGUGUGCGCGAGUCAUUGGGCGUUAAAAACCCAAAGGCGCAAUGAAAGUGAAGGUCUCCCUUGUGGAGCUGAUGUGUGACCCAGGUCAUUGCGGUGGCCCGGAGCAACAUAGUCCCGUCCCGAUCGCAUGCGGUGGGGCGGAGACUGAGCGUGCGCGCUGAGACCCGAAAGAUGGUGAACUAUUCCUGAGCAGGACGAAGCCAGAGGAAACUCUGGUGGAAGUCCGAAGCGAUUCUGACGUGCAAAUCGAUCGUCUGACUUGGGUAUAGGGGCGAAAGACUAAUCG
rnacentral:rRNA from 1 species